UCAGGUCGAGGUGUAGCGUAUGGAAAGGGAAGAAAUGGGCUACAUUCCCUACCACAGGGAAUCACGAAAAAUAUCACUGAAACGUGUAUCUAGAAGGAGGAUUUAGCAGUAAGCAGAAAAUAGAGCGUUCUGCUGAAACUGGCCCUGAAGCGCGCACACACCGCCCGUCACUCUCCCCGAGCGAACUCUCACAACUUAACUUAAAACCUUUUAACAGCAAAGGGGAGGCAAGUCGUAACAUGGUAAGUGUACCGGAAGGUGCACUUGGCUAAAG
rnacentral:rRNA from 1 species